GAUGAAGAACGUAGCGAAAUGCGAUACGUAAUGUGAAUUGCAAAUUCCGUGAAUCAUCGAGUCUUUUAACGCACAUUGCGCCCCCUGGUAUUCCGGGGGGCAUGCCUGUCCGCGCGUCAUUGCUGCCCUCAAGCACGGCUUGUGUGUUGGGCCCCGUCCUCCGAUCCCGGGGGACGGGCCCGAAAGGCAGCGGCGGCACCGCGUCCGGUCCUCGAGCGUAUGGGGCUUUGUCACCCGCUCUGUAGGCCCGGCCGGCGCUUGCCGAUCAACCCAAAUUUUUAUCCAGGUUGACCUCGGAUCAGGUAGGGAUACCCGCUGAACUUAAGCAUAUCAAUAAGCGGAGGA
rnacentral:misc_RNA from 1 species